GCCAAUACUUGGACCUUGAAUAACAAAGGAGUAUGGUGAUUUUGUGUACAGCACAAAGCGCUCAAUUUUAGGAUACAUUUUUAAGCGAUGGGACACACUUGUGAAAGCCUAUAGAUAAUACCACCAGCUCUCCUUACUGGUACAAGCUCUAUGCUGCUGAAAGAUAUCACAGACUCAGAUAAGAAGAUUGAAACAAAACAUCGUAACAUAUUUUAUUCCCAGAAGUGGACAUUUUCGUAACACAGUUUCAUUGAACUCAUUAAUCUGAAUGAAUGCAUCCUAUUAAGAAAAGCAAGCGAAUCAACUGUACUCGAAAAACUCAUCAGCGUCACUCAAAAACUGACCGUUUGGGAAAUCAUAGAAGAUAAUCAACCAGUUAUAUCUCCACCAGCUAGCUGAACGUCAGCAGCAAACGAUACCUCGUUCCACAACUUCGUUGCUGAGUAAUUGAUAUUCUGAGGAGGCCGUCAAAUUCCAUUACAAAUAUCUGGGUAAUAUCUGGAACAUCCGGACUGUCCCUGUAGAAUUUCAGUGACAAAUGUUAUCCCUUCACUGUAUCAUAGCACCAACAGCGAAGAAAUUCAAAUUGGAAUGUGUACCAGUGGAGUUGAAACUUGGCGUUGACUGACCUAGAAGGAUUAGUAUUGACGAGUGACUAAGAGGAACAUUCUAGUUGUAUUUCUGGCUACUUGAAUCAAGAGACCAAAUUAC